UACGGAGGGUGCAAGCAUUAAUCGGAUUUAUUGGGCGUAAAGGGCGCGUAGGCGGGAAUGUAAGUCAGAUGUGAAAUCCCUGGGCUCAACCCAGGAACUGCAUUUGAAACUACAUUUCUAGAGGGUAGGCGGAGAAAAUGGAAUUCCACAUGUAGCGGUGAAAUGCGUAGAUAUGUGGAGGAACACCAGUGGCGAAGGCGGUUUUCUAGCUUACUCCUGACGCUGAGGCGCGAAAGCAAGGGGAUCAAACAGG
rnacentral:rRNA from 1 species